CCUACGGGGGGCAGCAGUGGGGAAUAUUGGGCAAUGGGCGCAAGCCUGACCCAGCCACGCCGCGUGAAGGAAGAAGGCUCUCGGGUUGUUAACUUCUUUUAUCCGGGACGCAGCAAGUGACGGUCCCUGCUGAAUAAGCCACGGCUAACUACGGGCCAGCACCCGCUGUAAUACGUAGGUGGCAAGCGUUAUCCGGAUUUACUGGGUGUAAAGGGCGGGUAGGCGGGAAAGCAAGGCAGAUGUGAAAACCAUGGGCUCAACCUGGGGCCUGCAUUUGAAACUGUUUUUCUUGAGUACUGGAGAGGCAGACGGAAUUCGUAGUGUAGCGGUGAAAUGCGUAGAUAUUAGGAGGAACACCAGUGGCGAAGGCGGUCUGCUGGACAGCAACUGACGCUGAGGCGCGAAAGCGUGGGGAGCAAACAGGAUUAGAUACCCUGGUAGUC
rnacentral:rRNA from 1 species